UACGAAGGGGGCUAGCGUUGCUCGGAACCACUGGGCGUAAAGGGUGCGUAGGCGGGUUUUUAAGUCAGAGGUGAAAUCCUGGAGCUCAACUCCAGAACUGCCUUUGAUACUGAGAAUCUUGAGUACGGGAGAGGUGAGUGGAACUGCGAGUGUAGAGGUGAAAUUCGUAGAUAUUCGCAAGAACACCAGUGGCGAAGGCGGCUCACUGGCCCGUAACUGACGCUGAGGCACGAAAGCGUGGGGAGCAAACAGG
rnacentral:rRNA from 1 species